GUGGUAAUGCCGGAUGCUCCGACUCCUCGCAUGGGGUGUCGGGAAAGAUUAUAUCGGUAUGGGAUGGGGUCGCGUCCUAUCAGGUAGUCGGCGGGGUAACGGCCCACCGAGCCUACGACGGGUAGCCGGCCUGAGAGGGCGACCGGCCACAUUGGGACUGAGAUACGGCCCAGACUCCUACGGGAGGCAGCAGUGGGGAAUAUUGCACAAUGGGCGCAAGCCUGAUGCAGCGACGCCGCGUGCGGGAUGACGGCCUUCGGGUUGUAAACCGCUUUUGAUCGGGAGCAAGCCUUCGGGUGAGUGUACCUUUCGAAUAAGCACCGGCUAACUACGUGCCAGCAGCCGCGGUAAUACGUAGGGUGCAAGCGUUAUCCGGAAUUAUUGGGCGUAAAGGGCUCGUAGGCGGUUCGUCGCGUCCGGUGUGAAAGUCCAUCGCUUAACGGUGGAUCUGCGCCGGGUACGGGCGGGCUGGAGUGCGGUAGGGGAGACUGGAAUUCCCGGUGUAACGGUGGAAUGUGUAGAUAUCGGAAAGA
rnacentral:rRNA from 1 species